rnacentral:misc_RNA from 1 species
CCAAACUUGGUCAUUUAGAGGAAGUAAAAGUCGUAACAAGGUUUCCGUAGGUGAACCUGCGGAAGGAUCAUUAUUGAAUACCACUUGAUAGGUUGUAGCUGGCCUCAUGAGGCAUGUGCACACCUGUCUUUUGUUAUAUUCAUCCACCUGUGCACCAAUUGUAGUCUUUGAGGGCAGAAAGCGGCCGACCGUGUCAGUCAACAGACUGGAUUAGAGGAAUGCAUGUGCAUUAUUAUAUUUAAUGCUGCAGCUUUCCUUAGUAUCAGGUCGUGAUCUCCCUUGGGGUCUAUGCCUUUUAUCUAUAAACCAUAUAGUAUGUUGCAGAAUGUAUCUUAUAAAGGCCUUGUGCCUAUAAAAAUCUAUACAACUUUCAGCAACGGAUCUCUUGGCUCUCGCAUCGAUGAAGAACGCAGC